UACGGAGGAUCCAAGCGUUAUCCGGAUUUAUUGGGUUUAAAGGGUGCGUAGGCGGCUCAGCAAGUCGGCUGUGAAAUCCCGAGGCUCAACCUCGGAACUGCAGUCGAUACUGCUGUGGCUAGAGUCUGGUAGAGGAGAGUGGAAUUCCCGGUGUAGCGGUGAAAUGCGCAGAUAUCGGGAGGAACACCAGUAGCGAAGGCGGCUCUCUGGGCCAGUACUGACGCUGAGGAGCGAAAGCGUGGGGAGCAAACAGGAUUA
rnacentral:rRNA from 1 species